rnacentral:lncRNA from 1 species
CAAGAUGGGUGCAGAUCUGGAAAGAGGCAAGGGAUCUUUAUGAGUAGAAGAAGCUAAAGAAAAUGGCCAGGCACCCGUGGUUUUGGAGACAUAGCAUACAAGAGACAAUGUCAUCAACUCAAGGACAAGUGUGACUGAGAACAGUCAGGUGUAGGAGCUUCCUGCAGUUGAGCCUCCUUCCAUCCGUGGCCCUGAGCUCGGCAGCAUUUCCAAAAACAUAGAGCUGAAGAGAUGACUGUGUUCCAGUGCUGGUAAACGGAUGGCAGACCUGG